UAGGGAAUCUUCGGCAAUGGACGAAAGUCUGACCGAGCAACGCCGCGUGAGUGAAGAAGGUUUUCUGAUCGUAAAACUCUGUUGGUAGAGAAGAACGUUGGUGAGAGUGGAAAGCUCAUCAAGUGACGGUAACUACCCAGAAAGGGACGGCUAACUACGUUCCAG
rnacentral:rRNA from 1 species